rnacentral:rRNA from 1 species
GACGAACCGUGCGAACGUUGUUCGGAAUCACUGGGCUUAAAGGGCGCGUAGGCGGACACUCAAGUCGGUGGUGAAAUCCUCCGGCCUAACCGGAGAAGAGCUGUCGAUACUGGGUGUCUCGAGGGGUGUAGGGGUCUGUGGAACAGUGGGUGGAGCGGUGAAAUGCGUAGAGAUCCACUGGAACACCGGUGGCGAAAGCGACGGACUGGACACCUUCUGACGCUGAGGCGCGAAAGCCAGGGGAGCAAACGGG